AUGGUUCUUGCAGUUAGCUGGCUGAGCGUGUGAGCAGUACGUGUGAGCAAGAUCAUUGGUGUCUCCAGCAGUUAAGAGCACCAGGGCCCUCUGAAGUGUGGAGCCCAGGGCAGGGGCCAGCCUUGCCUGAGUCUGAAAGAAAAUAUUGACUGGGUCAUUUGGAUUUUUCUUCUUACGAUUUUGGAAUUUAGAACUAAGGUUGUUGGGAGCUGAGCCAUGUUCAUGGCAGAGGAAUGGAACUUCCCUUUGUGGAAGUUCCUGGAUCUUCCAGAGCCUGGGGAGUUUUCCUCUUCCUUGGAUUCCAGGAGAUACGAGAGGAGGAAGCUGUGCUGUGAAGGAUCCUUUUUCAUCAUGAUUAUUGCAUCUACAGGAGCAGUGAUAAAUUCUAAUAGAUAAUGCAACUCAGUCUACUUGGAUGUUCACCCCUGAGACUGGAGAAGACCUGCUGCCUUCUGCAGAGCCAAACAUUCCUCACAUGCUCCUUCACAAUGCUGCAAGCCAUAUUUAUUCAUUUAAAAGCUAGUUCCUCGCUGUUUCUUGUACAUUAAUUCUUUUAAAACUUUUACAAAACAAACUAAAUUUAAAGAGGAAAUUAUUUACUGUAGAACUAAUGGCCUGAAAAUAGUUGUCCAACAUAGCAUUGCACAUAGCAACAGGAAGUAGUUUAUGUACGAGGAAGUCUCUUUCAAAU